UUGCCUGUAGUAUAGAAUAAGUACGUAUGUUUUCCAAACAUGAGGGCUACUAAUAUUUUUGUAGCAGGUGAA
rnacentral:tRNA from 1 species